GAUCAUGAUGGUAAUGUAAGGGUCUAUAGUAGAGAAAAAGAUGAAAAGUGGGUUGUAACAUGGCAAGGCUUAUCUGAGUCAUGUGCUGUUCAUGGGACUUGUGGACCGAAUAGCGUUUGCAGGUACAGCCCGAGGGAGGGGAGGAGUUGCUCUUGCCCUCCGGGAUAUGUGUGGAAUAAUGACACUGAUUGGACUCAGGGAUGUGCGCCCAAAUUCGAGAGCUUCUGCAACCCGGGUUCUGAUGCUCAUGUCGAUUUCCUGCGUUUGCCUCACCAUGAUUUCUAUGGAUAUGAUAAGGACUAUUUUCCAAACACUACCCUGGCGUCGUGCAAGAAAAUGUGCGCAGAUCUUUGCAAUUGUAAAGGCUUUCAAUACAAAUUCAACGGGGAAAAAGGGAGCUUCGACUGUUUCCCCAAGAUACAGCUGUUAAAUGGAUAUAUUUCCUUCUCAUUUAUUGGGAGCACUUAUUUGAAACUACCAAAAGCUAAUCUCUCUUCUUAUCAAAUACCCAGCAAAGGAUUCGACCCACUGCCCUGUCCCCCAAAAGCUCAAGAAGUUGUCACUUAUCUGAAAGGCCACCAGAAUUCGACACUUGAGAUCUUGCUCAUUUUUUGCAACAGCGCUGGCUGGAGUGGAAAUUGUUGUAGUCUUCCUCACAUGGUCCUUUUUGGUCAGGACUAAUCCUGACAAACGGGGAGGUUAUGCAAAGGGAUAUCGUCUUGCGGGGACAGGAUUUACAAGGUUCACAUAUGCCGAGCUAAAGAAAGCGACCAGGAACUUUAACAAAGAGAUUGGAAGAGGAAGUGGGGGGAUUGUGUACAAGGGUGUCCUGCCAGAUCAUGGGGAAGCAGCGGUCAAGCUGCUAAACGAGGAAAAUCAAGGAGAAGAUGAGUUCCUGGCUGAAGUGAGAACAAUUGGGAAUCUCAAUCACAUGAACCUGAUUGCGAUGUGGGGUUACUGCGUGGAGGGAAGGCACAGGCUCUUGGUUUAUGAGUUCAUGAAUCACGGUUCCUUGGCAGAAAACCUUUCUUCCGAUCAACUCGACUGGAAGAAGAGGUAUGAGAUCGCGGUGGGAUCAGCCAAGGGGCUUGCUUAUCUUCACGAGGAGUGCUUGGAAUGGGUUCUCCAUUGCGACGUGAAGCCACAGAACAUACUCCUUGAUUCUGAUUACCAACCAAAGGUGGCCGAUUUUGGGCUCUCUAAGCUACUUAACAGAGAGGGCUUAAGAAUACAAGUUUCUCAAGAAUCAGAGGAACGAGGGGUUACAUGCCAAUCACCUCCAAAGUGGAUGUGUACAGCUAUGGAAUCGUUCUAUUGGAGAUGCUGACAGGAGGGAACGCGGUCGCAGGCCAUGCCAUCCGCGGAGAAGUAAAAGGCGAGAACAAAACGUUGACUUCUUGGGUGAGAGAGAAGAUGAAACCAGGAGUGCCCACGGAGACAUGGAUAAGGGAAAUUGUCAAUCCAACCGUAAAGGGACCUUACGACAUCAAGAAGAUGGAAGUUUCGGUUGCGGUGGCACUUCAGUGUGUGGAGGAGGACAGAGAUGCGAGACCCACCAUUAGCCAGGUGGUUGAGAUGCUUCUGCGCCAUGAAAGUGAGGAUCUGUAAUUCGGAUACGAGCAUAACUGCUCGGGUUCCAACUCUAAAUAACCGGACAGUGGCAAAGGUAAUAGUCUUUGGAUGUAUAAACCUAGGAAAUGUAAGUGUUUAGGAACAAGUCUCUGUUUAUCUCUGUUUUAUCUUCUUGGAAAUCUAGGAAAGAUCAUUUAGCAUGAUAGUUCCCUGUAAGAAACAUCAUUCAGCAACAAGGACGCUAUUGCUCUUUUGUGGAAUGUUCACCUUUGGUGCUUAUGAUCCAGUCUUAUGAAUCCUCGGUUGAUCUGACAUGGUUUAAAUCGGUAUACGUAGAGGUGCCUUAGGCUCACGAGAUGGUACACUUCUUAAUAACAAAUCAUUGACUAGAUAAAAUAGUUACAAUCUAUAAUCUCCUUUUCAGACAUCAACUUUUAAACAUAACUAUCGCCAUACACUUCUCAUUCUUUUCGGCCGUGCUUUGCUACGAGCUAGUCUAAUACCUAAACCGAAGCAGUUCACUUGGGCUAGGGAACUUGACAUUAAUCUUGAGAGGUCAAGCCAUCAAAAAAUAGUUUGAAAUUGUUGACACCAAAGUUGAUUUGGUCAUUGAUACGCACGUGCUUGGCAGUUAGCAUGAGAAUGAGAAAUAUGUGGCAUAUGAGCAGGGAUAAGCAGCAAUCACGUGUAACAAAUGGGAUAACUUUCGUCCCUCGAGCACUUCGAGUUAUGCUCUUUAAAAGCUGCGUUAUUAUGUGGAAAUAAAGUGAUAACUCUAACGAUAUAAAAAAUGAAUAAGCCGUCUACUCAGUUUAAAUAAAUUAUUUGAGUUUCUAUUGCUGUUUACUUGAAUUAAGAAUUUUCCACUUCUUCCGUACAUAGCACGGGCCAGAUUACUGUACAUACAGGGUAAUCUUAACAUAUCAUUUUGAGAAUAAACACACUACAUAUUGUAUUUGCAAGGCACUGAGGAAAAAUCAAACGGAGAGAAAGUUCACGAGCCUCAUGGGUAGGAGAAAGAACAACACACUCCGAUGCUACAGACAAAGCGUAUAGGAGUGGUUGAUGCUACAGACAAAGCGUAUAGGAGUGGUUUAUUUUGAAAAAUGACUUUGUAUUUUAUAUAUAAACAUCUCAGUACAAGCCAGUCCUCAACUGGAACGCCAUGAGAAACUCGUCAUUCCUCCUUGCGCUUGUUCUCUCAAUCAUUCACUUGUCUUCUCAACAUUCCUCUGCAACUCGCGCCACUUCGCGCAUUGGCAACUCUCUCUCCGUUGCCAAUCCAGACAACAUCCUCAUCUCAAAGUCCAGCGUCUUCUCCGUAGGCUUUUAUCCCAUCGGCAAGAACGCUUACUGCUUUGCCAUAUGGUACAGCAAUCCACCGUGCAGUGGUCAGAAUUGCACGGUAGUUUGGAUGGCAAACCGCGAUGAACCUAUCAAUGGGAGAUACUCUUAAUCUUUUGGUUCAAAAGAAUGGCUAUCUUGUGCUAACCGACGCCAAGGACGCUAUUGUUUGGGCAACAGAUACGGCCUCACUCUUCUGGUCAAAGACACCAAUUCGUCAGUUACAGCUCCUAGACUUUGGUAAUCUUGUUCUUAGUGACAGAGAAGGCAAGGUCCCGUUGUGGCAAAGCUUUGACUACCUGAUCGAUGUGCUCCUCCCCGAACAAAACCUCAUUGGGAACACACCGCUUGUUUCCUCUCGGUGCAGCCGCAACUUCUCUUCUGGCUGGACCCGGGCCAUGUGUUGCAAAAUAUAGAGGAGGAGGAGGAGGAGGAGGAGCAUUGGGGGAAGAAUACGUAACACGGUUUGUUGCGAUCUAAAAAUAAUAAAUUCGAGAAAGUGAUAACAAAAAGAAAUAGUAAUUGGAGGUGAGGUACAGUUAGCUAAAUCACCUUAAGACGAUUAGUUUUCUCACUAUUUGUUGGGUUUACUAGAAAAUCAAGAUGGCUAAUAACAGUGAUGUCCAGAACGUUCCUGAAGAUGAUCCUUUGGUUGUUUCAACCGGUGAGGUUCAAACCUUGUGGCGUGGUGUUAUGGCAGCAAAUGCUGCGAGCCUUCAGGCUAAAACAAUCUACGGUGGUACAACAUGCCCAGGACUUUUUUAUAACAAUACAAACCAAAUGGUGUGUAGUCCAAUUUUUGGAGAGAUGGUUCAAUGGGAGCAUCCAUUUGAAACUACCAAAAGCCAAUCUCUCUUCUUAUCAAAGACCCACCAAAGGAUUCAAUUCCCUGUCCUGUCCCCCAAAAGUUCAAGAAGUUUUCCUGUAGAGGACUUAUCUGAAAAGCCAGAUGAAUUCGACACUCAACAUCUUGUUCACUGUUGCUAUGGUGCUAGCUGGAGUGAAAAUUGUUGUAGUCUUCCUCACACGGUCCUUGAUCGGGACUGAUCCUGACAAACUUGGAGGUUAUGCAAAGGGAUAUCAUCUUGCGGGAGCAGGAUUCACAAGGUUCACGUAUGCCGAGCUAAAGAAAGCGACCGAGAACUUUAGCAAAGAGAUUGGAAGAGGAAAUGGGGGAAUUGUGUGCAAGGGUGUCUUGCCAUAUCAUGGGGAAGCAGCGGUCAAGCUGCUAAACGAGGCCAAUCAAGGAGAAGACGAGUUCCUGGCCGAUGUGAGAACAAUUGGGAAUCUCAAUCACAUAAACCUGAUUAUGAUGUGGGGCUACUGCGUGGAGGGAAGGCACAGGCUCUUGGUUUAUGAGUUCAUGAAUCACGGCUCCUUAGCAGAAAACCUUUCUUCCUAUCAACUUGACCGGAAGAAAAGGUAUGAGAAUUGCGGUAAGAUCAGCCAAGGGGCUUGCUUAUCUUCAUGAGGAGUGCUUGGAUUGGGUUCUCCAUUGCGACGUGAAGCCACAAAACAUACUCCUCGAUUGUGAUUACCAACUAAAGGUGGCCGAUUUUGGGCUCUCUAAGCUACUUAACAAAGAGGGCCUUUAGAAUACGAGUUUCUCAAGAAUUAGAGGAACAAGGGGGUUACAUGGCUCCUGAAUGGAUUUACAAUAUGCCCAUCACGUCUAAAGUGGAUGUGUAUAGCUAUGGAAUCAUUCUGCUCGAGAUGCUAACCGAAGGAAACCUGGUCAUAGGCCAUGCCAUUGAUGGAGAAGUAAAAGUGGGGAACAAGGAGAUUAAUUACCUGGGUAAGAGAGAAGAUGAAACUAGGAGUGGCCAUGGAGACAUGGAUAAGGGAAAUUGUGGAUCCGACUGUAAAGAGACUUUACGACAUCAAGAAGAUGGAAGUUUUGGUUGCGGUGGCGCGUCAAUGUGUCGACGAGGACAAACAUGCGAGACCCACCACGAGCCAUGUGGUUGAGAUGCUUCUACGCCAUGAAAGUGAAAAUCUAUAAUUAGAUACCAGCAUAACUGCUUGAAUUCUAGCUCUAAAUAAGUGGACAGUUGCAAAGGUAAUAGCCUUUGGUUGUACAAACCUAGGAAAGAUAAUUUAGUAAGUGUUUAGGAACAAGUUCCUGUUUAUCUUUAUUUUAUCAUCUUGGAAAUUUAGGAAAGAUCAUUUAGCAUAAUGGUUCCUAGUAAGAGAGAUCAUUCAGCAAUGAGGACGCGAUAGCUCUCUUGUUACCGUUUGUCUUUGGUGCUUCUAAUCCAAUCUUAUGAAUAGAAGGUUGAUUAGACAUGGUUUAAAUAUUCAUUUUUAAAUAUUCAUUUAUUUUGCAAAAAUAUAAAAAAAUAUUCACCAAAUGGUACACUUCUUCUUAAUAACAAAUUAUUAACUAGAUAAAAUAGUUAAAAUUUCAAAUUUCUAUUGAUAUCUGAAUUUUUGUCGACGUUUUAAAUAUUUAUUUAUUUUGUAGAAAUAUAAAAAAAAUUAUAAAAAGGUAAAAAGCAAAAAAAAAAUGAAAAAAGAAAUGAAUGAAAUGAAAUGAGCGAGGGAGGAACAACAAGCUGUGACGCAAGCAAAUCCACGCCUUCUAGAAGGCUGAGCUGGCGUGAGGGAUGAGGAGGCCUAACCGAAAAAGAUUCGGGGAGAGGCGGGGGGGAGCGUGCGUGAGCGGGCGAGGAGGCUAACCCAAAAAGAAGAAGACCAGGUUGCAGAGAGGGAGGAGGGGGCAGAAGUUUUUCUUUGGCUAAAGAAGAGAGGAUCGUUCGGCAGGAGAGGGCAUUAUUCGGCCAUUAAAGAAAGAAAAAGAGCGAGGGCUUUUCUUUUUCUAGAGGCGCCGCUCUCAGUGCGACCGCCACGAAGAACGUUCUCUCGGGUCCAGUCCAUGUUCGUCCUCAUGAGCGACGUUUCCCAAACUCUCCUCACACCGGCCGGCCAUUUUCUUAAGCUUCGCCAAUGAACAAGCAGCAGUUGCAACGCCACAUCUAAUCAGGUAAGCAUCUCGCUCCCCCUAGAUAUCCUGUAUUUUCUUCAUGCCAUUGAGGAAUUAAGAACAAAAAUUUCAAUCUAUAAAAUCAUGGUUUAAUCUUGUGAAACGAGACAUAUUUGUGAGGGACGAUGUUAUUUGGAGUUUGAUAUGUCAUUUUUAGACCGAAAAUCAUAUCAAAAUGGUAUCGGAGGCUUGUUCUUGUACUACACGUAAUCAAUUUGGCUGUCAAAAUGAUAUCUUAGGAAUGAUAUCUAUUUGAGAAGACAAAGAUUUGCCUCCCUAAUUUGAAAUCGAUUGUUUUUUAUGCGGAAUAGCGACGAUUCAACACGCAGGUUCUUCUCUUCUAUAGCCCUCGGAUCCUAACUCGAUGAGACUGCCUCUCAUGCUUCCUGGUGAUAGUGUGUCCGUCGAAGUAUGAGGGUUAGAAGAGGGACUUUAGCGCUAUUUAAAAAAGUUUUUAACUAAACUCUCUCAUCACGAGCCGAUCCAAGCCCAACUCGGCCCACAUAAGCUAGGUUCAUAUUCGACUAUUAAGAAACCUUAUACCCUACCUUAUUAGGCCAACCCCGUAAAACGGUAAAUCACAAUCACAAUUAAUGACAACCUUAGGAAAACUAUUGCAUUCUCUCACUUGGACUAUAUUAAUUGAGACUAUACUGCAUGUGCGCACCUUUAUAUUGAUCUAAAGACAAUUCUUAAUAGUCAAUCAUAGUCCAUAGAGUCUCAAACACUGAAUCAUAGCAAUAACUACAUGUACACACAUAGAAUCUUCCAUGAUUACAGUUGAUUUCAACUUUAUUGAUAUUGACCUCAAUAUGAUUGUGUGGUGAAUGGAUAAUACAUCAUGAAAAGUAAUAACUUAUGAGUCAUCCCCUUUGACGAUCACUAUUUUCUUACUUUAAGUGUCACAAAAAACCGAAUGUGCCACUAGAGAAUAUUUUUAUAGUUUUGAUGAACCCACAUAUGUUUUAUCUUUAUGAUUAACCUUUCUUUAUAUGUAACCAAGACAUAUGCUCAAAGUUGACAACCAAAUGCCAUCAGCCUUCACUCAAGACUUACACAAUACCUUGAGAUUUUCAUUACAUAUAAUCAACUUAACAUAAUGACACACAUUAAUGGACACUUUAUUGAAUAUGAAAGAGUCUAUACAUGUUAAAAUGUUACUGAAUAUAACAAAACAUAGAGGUAAGCUUUAUUAAAGCAAAAUCAAAACAACUCCCACUAAACAGCAUCAUCCAAUGAUGUUUCUUAGCCCAUAUUUAUGACAUAUUGCUCAAGUACACAAGAGUAAAGGUCUUUAGUUAGUGGGUCUGCAACCAUAUUAUCUGUAAAAAUAUGCUCUACUAUAACAUCAUCAUUCUCUAUAUUUUUUAUGGCAAAAAACUUGACUGCCAUGUGUUGACUUUUAUUGUUGUUGAUAAACAACACUGAAGAAUCAUUGUCUUGAUACAACUAUAUAGGUCUAUUCAUAAAAUCAAAUAUGGUCAACUCUUUAAUGAGGUUUCGAAGUCAAAUAUCCCAAAUAACGGUUGAAAAGCAUGGUACAAACUUCGUUUGCAUGGUAGAGGAUAAUAUAGAAUUAUGUUUUUCACUUUUUCAUAAUAUUGCACCUUCUGGUAAUAUAAAGAUAUAUUAUGUUGUCGACUUCUUAUCAUCCUAACAGCCAGCAAAGUUUGCAUCCGAAUACCCUAUUAGCUCCAGGUUAUGAACAUGUCUAUAAACUAGCAUAUAGUCGUUUAUCCUUUUAAGUACCUCAAAACCUUAUUGGCAGCAAUUCGGUGAUCAUGUCAUGAAUUUGAUUGAUAUUAACUCAAAAUUUUGUUGCAAAACCAAGAUAUGUUCUAAUACAAACUUAAGCAUACAUGAUACUUCCUAGUGCACUAGCAUAAGGUACAUCCUUCAUUUGGGUUUUCCCAAAAUCUAAAUGAGGACGAUGUAAUAGACUUACUUUAUUACCCUUAACAAUAGGAGUAAUUCCUAACUUACAAUGUUGCAUACUAAAUCUUUUCAAAAUACAAUCAACAUAUGCAAUCUGAGAUAAAUCUAACAUAUAGCGAGAAAAUCCCUAUAUAUCUCAAUGCCAAGGACAAAAAAUGCCUCAUCAAGGUCUUUCAAGUUAAUAUUCUUUGACAUCAUUUACUUUGUCUCAUGCAAUAAUCCAAUACCGCUGCUUGCAAGUAAGAUGUCCACAUAAAGUAUGAGAAAAAUAAAUUUCCUCCCAUUAACCUUGCAGUAUAUGCAUUCAUCUACUUUAUUCUCAACAAAACCAAAAGAAGUGAUAACAUUGUGAGACUUCAAGUUGAUUAAGGACAAGAAACAACAUUUAUAAAUGUCACUAGAUCGACCACGCAGUAGAUAUUGUAAUCAUACUCUCACAGAUAGACUAUAUAGUCUAGUGGUAUAAUCGAUUGUCUCUGCAUAAUAGAUCUCUUGAGUGGAGCUACAAUCACUCCAUCCUUUACCUAAAGGGCUUGACAAACUUCAUCAUGAAUUGUAUUAAUAACAAUAUCUUGAACCUCAAUAGAUUUAGUAUGUGGUGUAAGAGACUCCACAAUCGUAUGUAUAGGCAAAGAAAACGACACAAUGAUCUCUAUUUUUAAUAGUCCAAGAGAAGCUAUCCUCUACGAUUACAUCAAACUCUAUAAAAUUUUGUUGUCUAUGAUUCCAUAAUUUUUGCACCUCAUCAGAACCAUUAUAAAGAAUAUUUAUAUUUAUCUUAAUCUCGGCAUUAAACAAGACACAAUUUUAUACCAUCAACACUUUCAUCAUCCUUUUAGCAAUGCAGUUAGCUGGUAAAUCAUUUUCAAAUGUUCCUAAAUAGAACACUUCAUGGAUAAUGAACAUAUUUAAUUGCUCUUUUUCAUAUGCUUUCUAGUUCCAUAUCGUCAACAAUGAAAUUGCCAACUUAUUCUCAGUAAGAGCAAUAUGAACAUCUACCAACUUCAUCUUAAAUAGAAAAUCCUCUUUCACUACUUAAAGUUUGAUCCAGUAAGAACCUCAAUCACAAUGGAGUUUCCAUUUAAAAAGAAGAUGACUUAAUAACAAGCAAUUUAUACAAUUGGUAUCAUGUAAGUAUUGUGUAACUUGAAAAGCAUAUAAGUACACAUCCUGAAAGUUAUAUGCAUCAUUAUAUAAACACCUUUAGGUAGAAUACAUGAUAUGCAAUUGUAUACUCUCUACAUGACAGUGAUCAUGAGAAUUUAUUCUAACCUUUUGCAAAUUCACCACAUUUGAGUGUAUGAACUAUUAGAGUCAAUCACUCCUCAACCAUAUGUUAUACAUGCAUCCCUCCAUGAAUUAAUAAAUAAUCAUUUCCUUUGGGAGUAUAACUACAUAUUAUAAUAUGAGACAUCCCAUCAUAAUAUGAGACCAAUAUCUCUCAAAUCUAAUCAAGUGUGCCACUUUAGCAAUUAUAACCCAAUUUUUUUUUUUAACGGGAAGUUAUAACCCAAUUGAAUCAUUGAAACUUUUUUAUAUCAGUGAUAUAAACUUUAUGCUUCACAUUUACCUUAUACAUAUGAUUUUAGACUUGAUGACAGGGGGGCAAUUUGUCACUAAAAUCACAUGUCAUGUCAAUUAUAUAGCUCCAUUCAUUUAUACAUGUUGAACCUUAUACAUGUUAUUAAUGAAUCAAUGCUUUAUACAUUCUUUAUGUGAUGAUAUUCAUGUAAGCUUGCAAAGUAUUUCCAAAAUUAUAGAGAAAUACAUGAAAAAUACCCAAAAAAUACCCCCAAAAUCCAUGUAUUUAGGGUUCCACAUGCAUUUUCAUAUCCUUAAAAAUAUCAAACAUGUAAAAUAUAGUAUAGAGAAUUUAUAUAUGAGUAUGUUGGUGCAAACCAUAUGCCGAACGGAGGCUCUACACGCCCUCACAUGUUGCUGGAGUGUGCGGCACAUGAACUACAUGUGCUGGCGUGCUUGAACCAAUUCGGCUGCUAGUUCAAUCGGGUUCAAUCGGUCCAACCUGUAACACCCCGAACCCUUCGCAGGUUGUCACCAGCGCCAAUGUUACACCUUAUUACCUUUUUGUCUUUCGAAGAAGUGUCCUAAUUUGCGUACACAUUUUUUUUUCUUUUAAAACAAAACGGUCCUAGCGCAACUCAUUAGCAGAAGCAAUUUAAAACAUCACCGUCUCCCCCCUACCAACCAUGAUACAAAUACACACCACUAAUCACCAUAAUUUUAUAAACAAGCCACGACACUUUAUUUACAUAUAUUUCAAGAUGGGAUUCCCUUCGGGUCGGUACAACAAAAAGGAAAAGCUAGGACUCAGCCAUGUCCAGCCUAAAACCUCAAAAAGAACCCUCGACCCUCAACAUCAUACGUGCACAACCCCCAUCAAAAGUGUCGGCUAUCUAUAUCCAAAAAGAUCCAGCUCCUACUCAUCGUGCACGAGUCUCACACCCAACCCGGUGCAUCAGGCGAUGGCGGCGACAACAUCCCUCGCAUCGCUCCAUCCCGACGAACGUGCACAGAUAUGAACUCCUGAAUGACAGGGCCCCCAGCCAGGCCUAUGUCGUACAUCACUAGACAGCGUACUCGAAUAAAAGUCAAUCCGGGAACAAAGGGACAGUCUAUCUCAACACACUCGACCUCUACAUCGGAUGGUAGACCGUAAAACACCCCCCGCGUGACGGCAGGAAGCGGCAUACUGCUAAUCUGAAAUGUGGGUCCCCAAAGGGGUGAGUACAACCACUCAAUAGAUAGGGAAAUCCAAUAACAACUCAAUGCAUCAUGCAAUCAUACAUGCAUUGCAGGCGCUACUUACCUUGAAGCCAUGCGCAUACUAUCAUGCAUCAUCAUAUCAAUUCAUAACACAUUCAUGUGUAUCAUCAUCGUAUCAUACAUGUCAUCAUCAUCAUGGCAUCAUUACAUCAUACAUGUCAUCAUCAUCAUGACAUCAUCUCAUUACACAUGCCAUAUCAUAUGUCAUCAUCAUUAUCAUCAUCAUGCACAUCAUCAUGCAUAUCAUAUCAUGGGUGAUCAUCAUUAUUUCACAUCACAUGUCAUCAUCAUCAUCAUCAUGCAUAUCAUCAUGCAUAUCAUAUCAUGGGUGAUCAUUAUUUCACAUCACAUAUCAUCAUCAUCAUCAUCAUCAUCAUCAUCAUGCAUAUCAUAUCAUGGGUGAUCAUCAUUAUUUCACAUCACAUAUCAUCAUCAUCAUCAUGCAUAUCAUCAUGCAUAUCAUAUCAUGCAUAUCAUGUCAUGAUUUAAUUUCCACUUUUGGAUUUCAAUCUUGAUCACCACAUCACCCAUUUCUCAAUUCAUCAAUUUUAUCAUCCCCUCGGGCAAAGACCUCCGAGGCUUCCGGCAUUCAGCCUCCCAGGCCACCGGGCAUCCGACCCCCCACAUUCCAGUCAUCUCGCAUCUCAACUAGCAUCACGAGGCAUUCCCUUCGGGCAAAAACCUCCGACAGGGCUUCCGGCAUUUACACUCCCUGGCCGAGCAUCCCGCACCCCAAAUCCUGGCAUCGCGAGGCAUUCCUUUCGGGCAAAGACCUCCAACAAGGCUUCCGGCCCCCCACAUUCCGGGCAUCCUGAAUCUCCCAGGGAAUCUGGCAAUGCAUCUUUGUACACUCCGGCCUCAUCCUCCACCACAACCACUUACUCACUUAUCAUUAUCCACAUUUACCAUUAUUUUGAUCUCAAUUUAACAUGGCAUAUGGCGUGACAUCAAACAAGUCAUACUUGGCAUAGGAUUCACACAUGCAUCACAACUCAAUGUCAUACAUAUACCAAGACUUUAUCAUAUGCUACAAGAUAAACUUAAUGGAAUUUAUGGCCAAUAAAAUAAUCCAUUUUAUUUUAUUAUUUAUUUAUUUAUUUUUAAUAAAUAAAUAUUAAAUUCAAUAUCUAUAAAUUCCCAAAAUUAUAAAAUUCAAGCAAUCAUUAAAAAAACCAAUAGGAUGACAAUUUCAUGCAAAAUUCAUGGCCAAAUUGAAUUUCACACAAUUUCACAAUUUCUACAAUAUAGCACAUAAUAUUCGGAUAAUAACCAGAAUGCACAGUUCCGAAUAAAUUCGAUUAAAAUAUCCACACGGCCUCCAAAAAUUACAAAAUUUUACAGAAUGAUAGCUAAGACAUUUUCGUACAACUUUCAUGAAGAACUCCAAGCCAGAUUCUUUUUAUAUUAUUUUUUACAACCUCACGAAGCUUCUGGACCCAUUACCGCAUCGUCCAGUGCACAUAUCACCGAAAUAUUGAGAUUUCACCUACCAUUUCUCUUUCGUUUCCUCUGAAAUUUAGAUAUGUUAUACAUCAAGGUAUCCUAUACAAGUUUCAUGAGAGAUCUAGGUCAAAUAACCAGAGUAUAGUCAUCAUCUAUGUCCAUGAAGUCUCAGGUAUCUCGGAAUACAACACCAGAAUCAUCAUCUUCAAGAUCUAGUCGAUUUACUAGGCUAUACUUGUUCAUUUCACUUAAAAUUUGAGUAUGUUGUAGUUUAAGAUGUCUCCUACAACUUUCAUGAAGAAUCUGAAGUGAUAUUCUCAACAAAAACCAACAUGCAACCAUGAAUCCGGCAAGAGGUCAGUAAAAACUCUCCAGAUCUGAGGUCUCCGUAUAAUAAGACUUUAACCCCUCAAAUCUCCAUCAUUUUUCACGAAAUUUCAGUAUGUUGUAGUUCACGAUGUUAGCUACAACUCUCAUGAAGAAAUAAAAGCCAAAAUCUGACUCUAAACACACAUGCAAGCUCAAAAAAGUUACUGACUACACGGUCCGAGCAAGAACAGUCAUGCGGUUUAAGAACAAGCCAACCAUACCUCGGUUUUUCUCACUUAAACGCCCAAAAUCUAACAUGCAACCAACAUACAAGCAUGCAAGAGAAGCUAUAGGAUUCCCACUUGCCUCUAGGAUGGAUGGUCGACGGCGUACAGCGGUGUACACGGCGGACGGACGGCGGUUUCCCUCCUCUCUCUCGGCCGCUCCUCCUCUCUCUCGCACACCUCUCUCUCUCUCGUUGGGCGAGCAAAUGGCCGGCCACCCUUCUCUCUCUUCCCUUUUAUUUCCCCAAUUUCUCAUGAUUAGCAAUCAUGAGAUUGCCUAAAAACCAACCAAUGCAUGGCCUUCCCCUUUGCCACUUGUCACAUUGAAUUUUGAAUUGAAUUUGGGCUUCUUGGGCUUGGGCCUCUAUGGCCGGCGACUACUCCUCCCUUGGGCCUCUAUUGGGCCGGUCGACUUCCCCUCUUGGGCCCCUCAUCUUGGCCCAUUAAAGGCUUAGGCCAAAUGGGCUUAAGGCCCAUUCGAAAAUUAACCCCUUUUUCCCUUCUUUUUUUUUUUUUGAAUUUCUUCUAUAAAUAUUUUUCAAUUUCAAUUUUCAUCUUGGCCAAAGUCUUGGGGCAUUUUGGUUAUUGAAAUUUAAUUUAUAAAUCAUAUGGCCAAGCAUAAUUUAUUAAUCUAUCAAAUUUAAAUUCUCGCAAUCAUACACACAAAUCAUCUAAUUAAAAAGGCUAAUGGCUAAAGCAUAGGCCAUGGAAAUCUUAUCACAUAAUUAGAGACUUUAACACACCUUAUGGCUUGGCUUUGAAUUUUGGGAUGCCACACAACCGGCCAAUGAUCCAAUCGAGUCAGGUCACCCAGUCAACUCGGGUCAGGUCAAUUGCCAAACUGGGUCAAGUUAGCUCGGUAAAACCUAGUCGAGUCAACCCGGCUAGGUAAUGACGUCAGCUCUUGCGAUGUAGUGGUCAAGUCAGCGAGGUGACGUCAUUGAUGAGGUCACCUACUGCCUUAAGCGGUUAUGGGCCCAUGUGUGCAAGCACGUGAGCACUCGCUAAAGCUGCCGCCAUGCGUGCAGGUGCGUGACAAUGCAUUCGGCCUCUUAUGGAGGUGUGUAACCCACCAAAAUGCUCGUCUCGAUGAAAGGAGUUCAAAUAUGUGAUUUAAAUUCACUUUUACUAGUCUAAAAAUCACAAAAAACGAGCAAAAACGACCUAAAGCCAUGUGAAAUCUGAGAUUCUCAUGGGCAUCCCAUUUGGCCUUCGCUAGAGGUGUGCCACCCAUCAAAAUGCUUGGCUCAACAAGACAAAUCGGAAUAUGUGAUCGAAAUUAAGUUUCAUCGGACAAAAUUUUCAAAAUGGGCCAAAUUCCCUAUGUUCGAAUUCUAUGGUAUGCCAACUCUGAUACCAAAUAUUGGCCGUCGAAACAGCAUCUUAGGAUCAACAUAACUAGAAACUCGAACAUAUUGGAGCAGAAUAUGUAGAUUUACGUACCUAAUUUGGAAUCCAUCAUUCUUUAUUCGAAAUAGCAACAAUUUCGACGCUCAGGUUUUUCUCCUUUAUAACUCUCAAAUCCUGGCUCAAUGAGACUGCCCUUCAUGGCUUCCUUAUGUGAGGUGAUAGUGUGUUUGUCAGAGUAUGAGGGUUAGAGAAUGGACCUUAAUGCUAUUUAUAGAAUUUUCAGCUAGACCUUCUCAUCACAGGCUAGGCCCAAAUCGGCCUACACAAGCUAGGCCCAUAUUCAACUAUUAAGAAACCUUAUUCAUUACUUAUUAGAUUAAUCUUGUAAAAUGGUAAAUCAUAAUCUCAAUGGAUGCAACCCACAUCAAGAAAACUUAUACAUGAUAUACUGAAAUCCAUGCUAUCCGAUCACCAUAGAGGUUUAGUUUAAUGCUUCAUCGUUCUUGUAUUGUUGAAGGAUGCCUGACAUUUGUGUCUCUGGUUUUGUUUUUAUGCGAUUUCGUGGAAACUAAUCGUUUGUCAUCGAGUCAGCCAUGGAUGAACACCUCACCGGAGAUGCCGUUCCUUCAAUCGGAGAAGCCCAUGGUUCAAAGCCGUUCAAGUCAGCAUCUCUCUCUAUUUUAUUGUGCUUGUGUUUGUUUGUUUGCCGAGAUUGCUGGUGUUAGAGGUUUAGGUACAAUGAGAUGUUUAUUUUUGGUGUUUUAAUGGUCACUGGAAUGGCCAACUAGAAGUGAUGAAUGAUGAUCAGUCGUGUUGGCCAAUGAUGAUGUAGGACGAUGACCACCAGCUAGAUGGCAGUGGUGUCAAGUGUUUCUCGACGGCAGAGACGUAGCAAGAGUUCAGCCUCAUUGAAGGAGGAGCUAGAAGUUGAAGAUGAUGCUGGGUUGAAGGAGAUGGGCAGAAAAAGACAAAAUAGGAAAAAAAAAAGCGAAAAAGGAAAAAAAAAAAAAAAAGAAGCGAAACUAUAGAAAAAUAAAAGGGCUAAAGGGUAUUCUGUUGUGGGCAUGGCUCAUUUCAAAAUAUGGGCCCGAAAAAGAGUUAAAAAGAAAAAAUAGUUCAUAGGCUUUUAUAAUUCAUUACAAGCGAGCUUUUAGGGUUAAUGUUUUUAGCCCAACCCAUUCCAAUAGGGUUUAGGUUGAUUUAGUUGGGUCAGCUCUCUUGACCUGGUCCGAAUCCCUUUUAUAUUGAUAAAUUUUUAAAAAUUUAAAAAGGAAAAUAUUGUUAAAAAUUCAAAAAAUUGAUAAAAAAAAGUUUAAAAGCUUUAGGGAAUAAUAAAAAUUUCAAAAAAUGCGAAAAUCAAUUAAAAAAAAGGAAAUUUUAGAAAAUCAUUAAAAAUUAGAAAAUCCAAAAAUGAUAAUUUUUUUUAAAAGAAAAUAGAGGAUCCUUUGAAACUAAAACCUAGAAUUGGAUAACCUUUUAGGGCUUUACAAUAGGGAUUCUUGUUUUUCUUUGUCUUGUUUUCUUUUUUAGGGACAAUUUAGGAUGCUUGCAUAUUCUCUAUAAUGAUUAUAAUUGAUUGUGAUUUUCAAUAUUUGGAUGUAAUUUCCUUGUUUUAGAAUGGUUAGGACAAAUAUUUGAAUUUUCUUGAUAGGCUGUUAUGGCAUUAGUUAGCACAUGAUUAGAUUAAACACCGAAAGGGCAUUAGCCUUUGGGCUAACGUAAUCAAGUUCCUGAGUCCAAAAUCUCUAGUUGCGUAAAUUAUAAGAUAUCAUUUUGUAUCCUACUGGGUUUUUAGCCAAGCCCAAAAAAGCUAGUGGCAACUCUUUAGUCAAAAUUUGCAUAAAUUUAAUUAAUUAAAAAUUUGAACGCUCCAUGUCACGUAACGUAUGGGCUUGGGAGAGCUUGAGUCAAUAGAAGGCCACCAACUCGAAGUUGACAUACGCCUAAACCUAACAAACUCAUUCUCCCGUGAGGGGGGUUAGGUUGGGACAAUUUCCCUUUUAGACAUUGUUUUUAAGGUAAGUACACUAGAAGUGCAAUAAGUUGUGUACGGUGCUUAUUUUGGUGCCAAAAGUUUAUUUUUGACCACUUAAGUGCCAAAAAAUUUGAAAAACUAUCAUUUCAGUAUCAAUGUCGAUCUGGUUGGCCGAAUCCGACGUAACAGUUUUUUUUAUUAAUUUUUGAAGCCAAUGUGAAUCGCUGGAGAGUACAAUUAGCAUACAAACAACAAAACAACGCCGUUUAGCAUCUUUUCCCCUAAGUAGGAAUCCUAAAUCCCCAAGUUAAAAGAAAACUGGAAGUUCAAAACCCUAAAUCCCCAAUUUCAAUGCAUAUUUCAAUUUUCUUCCAAAAUUAUCAGCUCACUCUUGCAAAUGGAGGGUAGAAACUUUAGCAGCGGCUCACAUUCUUGCGAAAAAAACGAAUUAGAUGGUGGGUGUUAUCGUUAUUGUGGGUCACCAAGUCCGAGAAGAACAUCUUGGAUCCGGUUGAAUCUCAAGAGAAGAUUCCAUGGGUGCAGCAGAUAUAGAGAAUACUCGAAAUGCAAAUAUUUCAAAUGGAUUGGUAGAAAAUUCUCUGAUUAAGCAACAAAUAUAAUCUUAAAGUUACUUGAAGGUCGACAUCAACAUCCACCUACAUUAAUGGAUGAGUUGGAAGAUGUUGACUAAAUGCAAGCUCAAAUGAAAACUUUAACAUUUCUGGUUGACCAUUUGAAGAGGGAGGUUUCAAGGCUGAAAAUUGAAAGAAACUUUUAUCAAACAUUGAUUAUGUUGUUAUUCUCUUGUGUAGUCUAUUCAAAUGUGAAGUGAGUAAUGAGAAGAAAUUUGUAUGUCUACCAUAGUCAAAGACGUGGAAUAUGCACUUGUAUUGAAUUAUUUAUAAGUAAAGUAUGUUUUUGGUUUGCUGCAAUUUUUGUAUGAAGUAGAAAGUUUUGUUGCAAUCUAUGAUAGAAAUGGAAGGUUGGAAUUGGAAUGCAUUAGUUGUGAGCACUUAAAAAUUUUCUUGCUUAGUUGUGUAUUGUCAAUGUUUGUUUUGGUUAGUUUUUGCUACUGAUAUAAUGGUUUGCUGCAACUAUUAUUACAAACCAUGGCGAAAUUAAGGGAUGGUGGAAAAUUCAUGAUUGACUAUUCCAGUUCCAUAAGUUGUAAAUACCAAUCACUUGAGCGUCAAGUUUUUAUAAAAGUGAUCAUUUAGUUACCGUUUGUUUUUACUCUAAAUAAUGUUUGAUUAUGUUCUUUUGUUCCCCGAAACAAAAAAAGAACAGAAUUCCAUUUGAUAAAAUUUUUAUUCCCGAAAAUAGAUUUGGAACAUAAUUAGGAAAUAGAAAAAAGUAUAUUCUUAUUCCUAGGAACAAUUCUUAGAAUCAAUUCCUAUUUUUUUAUUUUCUUCUUUUUUUUUCUCUUCUUCUCUUCCUCUUUCUUCUUCUUCCCUUUGGCUAGUUGCUAGCCUCAACUAUGGCUAGCAAUCGGCCAAACACGAGCUGGCAAUCUCGCUGGAACGUCGCCAACCCAUGGCGACACCGAGCCACGACGAGGCUUGUCGACCCGAGCCUCCCCAUGGCUGUGUAAGAUCCGGCGAGGCUGAGCUUGCCCAGCCCAGCCAAGGUAAAGUCGAGCCUCACACAACCAUGGCGAGGCUCGGCCUCGCCUAGAUCUAGCGAGUCUCCGACGAGCUCACCGAACCUCGCCCAGUAGGUUGCUGGCCACCGCCGUAGCCGAUGACUGGCUACAAAGAAGAAAGAGGAAGAAGAGAAAAAGAAAAAGAGAAAAAAGAAAAUAUAUAUAAUAAAAGUAUUAAAAAAAAUUAAAAGAUACAAAAUUUUAAGAAUUUUACCAAACGCAUUUCUAUCUGAGAAUAGAAAUUUUGGACAGUUACAAAGCUCAUUCUUUUGCUUAGAAAUUGUUCCCGAGAAUUGAAUUAGAAAAAAUCAUUUCUGAUCAAAAAUUGUUCAUCGAAACAGAAUGGUUACCAAACUUGCCCUUAAGUGCUAGUCGCAAUUACAAAAUGAUCACUUGUAUUGUAUAAGUUUUUUUUUUAUUAAAAAAAACAUGUUAAUUCCAAACGUCACUUGACUUGCACCAAUCGUGGUGCAUCAUGUUGCACCAGUUAGGUUGUUGGUGCAUCUUGUUCUUGCACCAACUCAUACAAGUGUUAAUGCAACAAGAUACAUUAGCACCCAAAAUUGCUCAUGUAAGAAGAUGCAGCACCCACUACUACACCAAGGUGAGCUGGUGCAUUUUGUUCUUGCACCAGCACAUACCACCAGAACUCACAAAUUCAUUAGCAUCCAUAACUUCAACCAAUAACAAUAUAUGCACACAUCACUUCUAAAAACAAUAUCAACCUCAUAAAAACAUCACACCAACAACAAAAAAUUAUACAACAUAAUUGUCUUGCCAGCAUUACUAACCGAAACCAACACAAGAGAAAAUAACAAAAAUAGCUUUUACCAUUGACAUUGAUUGAUUCUUUACAAAAGAAAAAAAAAUUUCUAACUUCACUCCCCAAUCACUGAAGGUUCAGGACCCUCUUUAAAAAAAUGGCAAUAUGCACCAUCCUUAAAAAACAAUGACAGCAACUACCAUUAAUAAAUAUACAAUAUCCAACACCCUCCUAAAAAAAGAAAACAUAAAAAGAGACCAUGUCCAGCACCACAUAAAAGAGAUCAUGUCCAUCACCCUCCCAUUAGUCAAUAUGCACAACACCCCCACCUUCUUUUCCUUUUGAAGUUUUGAAUUGAUUCAUAAUUCGAGCACUCUUUCGAACUGGAUGUGUAGGUUCUUUAACUGGCCUUUCUAUCACCUCAUUUUCUUUGUUCUUGACAACGCAUAUUUUUGUUUUAGCACGUAUCGUGUGUUGGUCCAUAUGAUCACUAUUGCUCUCAUGAUCAGUUAGUUGAGAUGAAACUUGUGCUGUAUUCUUUUUGGAUAGUUGUUUUGGAGCUAUACCUGCUGUCUUCUUCUUUGGAGCACUUUUCUUUGGUUGCACUUUGAUUCUUGAGUUGGCCCACCUUGAGAAAUAAAUACCUUCGAAGUUCUCCCAAGCUACAAGAACAUAGCUAUAUUGUCAACCAAAUAAAUUGAAGUACAAAAAAUUAAAUGCAUGAGACUUACAAAUCUUAUAUUCAAAAUAGUCAUUAUAGUAAGUUCAUUUGUGUAAAUCCUAUAACCAUAUUGUCUUAAUCUUUUUCCAAGAGCCCCUCUUGUUCGUUGUGGUGCAUCAUUUUCAACAGUAACAAAUGAGGGAGCAACCUGUGCAACUUGUGUAGUUGCUCAUCUUCUCACCUGAGAAACACAUAACAAAUUUAAAUUUUUGCCCAUAAAAAACAAACGCAACAAUGUACAACUUACAGGAUAUUUUUUCUCGUUUGCUCAAUAAUGGAUUCAGUUGUUGUUGUUGAUGUCCUGCCUGUUCCAAUCCCUAUCCCUGCACUUGGGCCUACAAGAGGGCCUUUCUUUGGCCCUUUAAUAGGCUUUACAACAAUAAACUAUAUCAGGAUUAUGACCAACUAAAAUAAAUAAUUAGACAUCUACUCACUUUCAUGAUGAAAAUAAAUGAAGAAAACUUCUCAAAUUAAUUAUAAGUGCAUGACAGAGGAAAAUGACAAGAGAAGCCAAUACACAUGAUCAACUAUCAAACUUUAUCGAAUAUGAACUAAAAAUUUACUGAGGCAAAGAGGAUAUUUACCUUACAGUAGGACUUUCUAUCUGCCCUUUGGUAGGCAUUACAAUAGGGCCUUCUAUCCUCCUUUCAGUAGGCUCAAUAAGAAGCUCUUCAGUAGGUCAUGUUCCUGGCACUAAAUCAGCCAUUAGAUCUUACUAUUGAUGUUGAUUUUUUAGCUUACAACCUUUCUUGUUAUGCCCUUCCUAGUGGCAAUAGAAACAUUUCAUCUUUACCCCAGUCCUACUCAUUCUCUUACUUGAUGCAUCUUCCUACAGCAUUCUUCAUCUCCUUUUUGGCUUUCCUAUUUGAUUCUUCAGUGGCAAAGAUAGAAGGCUUUUAUGAUUUGUUGGCUCCCGAAAUUUGCUACUUCUGAUAGGCUACAUCAUAAAUUGGUACGAAGCAAGGUAUGAGCUUUUUUGUACGAAUCAUCUAGGUAAUCAUAUGGGUUUUCUUGCUUCAUCUGAAUAACACAAAUGGCAUGAGCACAGGGAAUUCUAUUUAGUUGCCAAGCUUGGCAUGAACACUUUCUUUUAUCUAGUUUGACAACAUGUUUAUCAUGAUUUUAAAUGAGGGAAAAGUGUUAAAAAAAAGUUUUAAACCUUUUUUUGUGCUAAUUUAGUCAUAAACAUUUUUACUUAGUGCUAAUUCAGUCAUUUCCGGCCAAUUUUGGCCAGAUUUUGCUGACUGGUCGGCUGACGUGAUUUGAUUGUGCUGACGUGAACAAUUUUGAAUAAUAUUUUAAUAUUUAUGAAUUUUUUUCUUUUUUCCCUCCCCUCCUUUGACUGGCGAGGUCGACCUCGCUAAACCUCGCCAGCCACAUCGCUAGUGGCCGUGAGGGCGGCCUCGUGCUGGGUGGUGAGGCUUGCCCUCACUGGCCACCUCGCCAGUGGCCGCGAGGGCCCAGCGAGGCUCGACCUCACCAGUGGCGCCCAGGCCGCGAGGGUGACCUAGCACUAGGCUGGCGAGGCUCGAACUUGCCGAAUUGCGGCCUAGGCGGCACCGAAAAGGCUCAACCUCGCCGAAUUGCAACCUAGGCGGCACUAGCGAGGCUCACCCUCGCCGACCAUGGGCAAUGAUCAACCCUCACUAGAUCCAGCAAGGACGAGCCUUGCCGCCCAGCACGAGGCUACCCUCGCGGCCAUUAGUGAGGUGGCCGGUGAGGCUGCCCUCGUAGCCACUAGCGAGGUGGCUGGCAAGAUCCAGCAAGGUUAGCCUUGCCGGCUGAAGGAAGGGAGGGAAAAAAAUCAAAAUUAAAAAUAAAAAAAUCAAAAAUAUUAAAAUAAUAUUAAAAGUUGUUUACGUUAGCACCGAUCAGGCCACGUCAGUUGGCCGGCGUCCAAUCAACAAAUUUUGGCCAAAAUUGUCCGAAAAAUACUAAAUCGACAUUAAGUAAAAAGAUUUAGGACUAAAUUGACACAAAAAAAGGUUUAAAACUAAAUUGGCACAAAUACAAAAUGUUUAGGACAUUUUUAACACUUUUCCCUUUUAAAUGAUCUCAUAUCCAUUAUCUCAAUUCCAAACUGGAUGGCAUAACCUACUAGUAGCAACGUUUGCAUCCAAUCUCUUCACAAUCCUAGAACCACAGUCUCUAGUCCACUUCGUAGCAUCAUCUCUUUGCCUAUGCAGUCUAGUCAUGACUAUAACUCGAAUAUCAUCAAACGUGUUGAUGAUUGGUUUGCACCUGACCUCUAAAAUUAUGUCAUUGAAAGUUUUACUAAGGUUGUUAUUAAUGAUAUCACAUUUAAACUAUUCGUUGAAGAAAGCCCAACACAAGUGCUUAGCUUAUAUUUGGAACAAUGCAUCAAAACCUUCAUUUGUCAACUGCAACAAUCCAUGUUUGGCUAAUCUGAAAUAAGCCAUGUUGGUACUCUACGUUAUCUACUAGAAUUACUUUUCCAACCUAUCUCCUUUGAAGUUCUUUGACCAGUUUGUGUAUAUGUACCUUGUGCACAUUUUAUGCUCAGCAUGUGGCAUCGACUUAGCUAAUAUAGGAAUAAGUCUUUACAAAAAUUCAACCAAUAAAUACAAGUUAGGAAAAAUAUGCAAGUGAUGAUAUUAAAGGAAUGAAUUAAUUGACAAUAGUAUUACCUUAUGUUGGUCGCUCAUGAAUGUCAUCCUCCCUUAUCGGUUAUCUCAAUGUCAUCCAUUAAUUUUUUUAUGAACCAAAACCAAGUAUCCUUGUUCUCCAUCUUCACUACCGCCCAAGCUAUCGGAAACAUUUGAUUAUUGGCAUCUCUCCCCACAAUUGCCAACAACUCCCUCUUGCAUAAACCAUCUAGAAAGUAUCCAUCCAAUCAUAUAACUCUUAUAUAAUCAGCUAAGAAGCCCCGUUUGCAUGCAUAAAAACAGACAUAAAAUCUAUCAAUUCUAGGCCCAGGAUCAGGGAGUGACCUCUCCACAACCUCUACAUAUACCCUACUAGAUGGGUUUUGAAGCAUGCAUUUGUCAGCAUAAUCCCAUACCUGCGCAUAUUCUUCCUUAUAUCAACCCAUCAAUAUUUUCAUCACUCUCAGCUUAGUUUUCUUGCAUUGAUUCCUUGACACAUUAACCCUUAAUUGCUCCCUCACUAACAACUGAAACUAAGGACUCUUGAUCUCGGGCAUUGCUUUGAUAGUAUUGAAAAAAUGCUUCGAUAACCACACACUUGUUACCAUUUUAUUAUUAAAUAUAAUUUGACGAGUAUGCUUCUCCCGGAAUGACCUAAUUUGAAAUGACCUCUUCUUACUCGGCGCGCCAUAGAACUUCCAUGAACAAUUGGGUUGUGAGUACUUAGCUCUGACAAAUUCCUUCGUAUUUCUAACGAAUUCAAUGCUCCUUUAUUCAACAAUGGAGUUCUUGACAAUAGCUUACUUUAAUUGUUUAGCAUCAUCAAAUAUCAUGCCCACAGACUAAAUAAGUGUAUCAACAGUCGAAUUAUAGUAAAGGUACUUACUUUUUCUUCUAUGAGCAGAUUCUUCAUCAUCAUUGUCAAGCUCAUUCUCUGAACUAGCAAUUUCAUUGCCGUAGCUUUCUUCAUUUUCACUUCUAUUACCUUCAACUUGAGCUACAUCCCUAUUUACUAGCUCGGGCCUCUUUCCUACAGCUGCAAAAAAAAAAAAAAAUCUGAGAAAUUUCUUAUGCUUUUUUCUUGACUGUGCAAGUUCAUCAUAAUCUUCAUCACUUGAGAAACUUAUCGAAGCCAAAUAUUCAUCUUCCGAUUCACUGGAUAUAGCAACUUCCCAUUCUAAUCCAAUGAAGUCUUCAUCGCCCACAUCUUCACCCAAGAUUUCAAGAUAUCUCCUCGUUUGUUCAUCUCUAACAAUAUGACUUCUCUAUUUCUCAUUUUGCCCUUCAUCUAACCUAAACUCAUCCCCGACCUGAUUACUUGUGAUAUUCUGAAAAUUCAGUUAUGUUUUCAAUUGAAUGAAUCGGGCAUUUCAUCGACGCGCCUGUAGUACUAUUCUCUGAGCUAAUCACUCAUAAGAUAACUAAACUAUUUGGAGAAGCCAUUAAGGGAUUUUAAUGCAAUAGACUUGAGAAUUCGACUAUGAAUCGACUACUCAACCAUGCUAAUCUACAAGGGCCAUUACGGCACAGUCGAAAAUCUAUUAGAGACCAGAGAUAGGUCGAUUUGACUGAGAUAUGUGACCAGAGUGUGAAUGAUUUCACCAUAUUACAAAAUUCUCGUUGAUCGGCACUAGACUGAUUUUUCUAUCAUUUUGGUACCAUGUGUCCGUAAUCGAAAUCUCGAGAUUUUCACGACCACCGAGAGUCAUCAAUGUGUCAAAGAGGUACAUUGUUGCUCGAAGAAAAUCAACCAUGGGUCAAUUGCACUAAAAAUUCCUAAAAGCUACCCGGUAGGUUAGGUCACGCUAAAAUCGCGUCAGACUGAAAUUAACCGCGAAAUUGAACCUGAUUUCAAAAAUUGAAGGUUUUGUCAUGUCAUGAUUUAUUUUAGGGACGUCGACUCAUCCUUUGAUGAAUUUUUGGAGAGUACAGGAUUUAUGGAAAAUCAAUACAGACGUUUCGAAAAAGAACGGAAAUUCAGACGGGCCGAAUUGAAGGGAUUUUUGGCUUCCAAACCGAGCUAUUUGGUGAUGGAGACUUGUAGAAUUUGUGUGGGCUUUUUCUUCUAGAAAAUUGGCCAUCAAAUUGAGGAAUUGGGUGAAGAAAUUGAAGAUCAAAAUUGAUGAAAUUCGGAGCUUAAUGGGGGUGCAACUUUUGGGCAUCAAAAUUUGUUAUUUGUGGGUUAAUCUUCAAGAAAGUAAUUGUGGGGACAUAAAGGAUAAGCUUGGAGACUUUUGAGGUCAAAGAAUGAUAAAAAUGAGAUAUUUUUUCCUUGACUUUUGGCCCCCUCAUCCUCAGCUUCUCCAGCACGCUUCAACCAGUUCCCUCCUCCUUCGUGGCUUAUACUUAUCCAUUUUUUUAUUUGCUCCUUCGGCCGCUGUUUUCCCUUCAUUUCGUUCCAGCGAAUUCUUCCCCACAUCUUCCCUCUCACUGCCAACACAUACACACGCCUGCAUCUCCCUCCACUCCGUCAACCGCUACCCCCUCCACCAUCGUUUGUUCCCCCACGAGUCAACUUCCCCAAUAGAUUUCAUUUGUUGACUCCCCUCACGCCAGCGAAGCCGCGGUCUGCCCAUCUUCUCCACCGAAGACUCACGCUGCAGCUUUCGACAGCCCACCAUAUUUUGUUCCCUUAACCGAAGCAGUCCCUCAACCAUUUCUCUCUCUCUGCUGUUGCCAGCAUCCACGAUUCAACCCCCCACUCAGUCAACACUCCCUCGAAACCUCUUCUUGUUAACUCCAGCAGCCCUGUCCGAAGCAACUUCAUUUCAUUUGGCCGCCGAGUAAGCAAACCACUAACUUUCCUACGGCUGCGACAAUGUUGAAGUCCACCGAAGCUGCUGGCUGCUUCUGCCUUUGACUCUGCCGCACAACCCUCAAGCGUCCAUCACCCUUACAUGAAGCCGAGCCCAAUAGUUCGCAAAUUCCAGCCAACUUUGUAGCUGAUUUCGACCUUGGUUUGGCUCUCAUUGGUGUCACCGUUUUGGAGUUUCUCGGUCAUCGUUGCACCAUCGUCGCCGUGGACUCACCAACCUGCAAAUCCGGUGAGUUUACUCACUAAACUCUGCUUAUGGAGUUAAUUAUGCUUAGGGGGUGUUUAGAUUAUGCUAAGUAUAUUUAGGUGGUUAGAUUAGUUUAAUUAAAUAUUGAUUAGAUUAUGUGCAUGAUUAGAUUAGUGGAUGGAUUAAUUAGUCUAAUUAUGUGAUUAGAUUAGUGUAAUCACGAUUAGACUUUUAAUUAAUUAUUUUUAUUUAUUUAUUUAAAUCAAAUAUUAUUUGAUUAUAUUAUUUUAGCUUUAAUUUAAUUUAAUUUUCGAAAUUUAUUAAAUUAUUAAUUAAUUAAUAUUUUCAGAAAUUAUACCGAGAGAGCCAUUUGUUAGAAUUUCACAUUGAUCACAGUAGUAUGGUUAGUUUGUUCAAUUGAUUGUUAUGUUUGUGAAAUUGAGUGAUAAUUGUGAUAUAUAGGUACUUUAAUAAGAAAAUACCGGGUGUCGGGUAUGGACACUAAAAAUGGUUUUAAGUACCAUUUCAACUUAGGUGAGCAAUAUAGAUUUAUAAUAGUUUCGGGGAGUAUUAACACCAAUAUAGAUCUAUAGCAGCUUUAGUGAGCAAUAAUACAUUAGCAGCUUCGGUGAGCACUAUAAAUAUCAGCUUCGGCGAGUAUUACAGUUAUUUAGUAGCUUUGGUGAGUGAUAAUUGAUAUAGCAACUUCGGUGAGUAAUAUAGACAUCAGCUUUGGUGAGCAAUGAUAUAUGAAUAUAUAUAUAUAUAUAUAUAUAUAUAUAUAUAUAUAUAUUAGCUUCGGUGAGCUAGACCAUCAAAUUCAGCUUAGGUGAGCAGUGUUCGAAUCAAUAGAGUUUAUGGAUGGUAUCGAUGGUAUGAAGUCAAAUGAGUCGACUAAUUGAUGGUUGAAUUGGAUUGAAAUGAUUGGAUGAUUAUAUGAAUUGUACUGACUUGUAGGAAGACCCGAAGCAAAGGUAAGUCCUCUGACUUGUGCUUGUACUUAGGUAGCCCUUGGCUUGUAUUUGCUUCCUAAUCGGAGUUUAGGAGGUGAACUUGUUGAGAUAUUGUCUCACCCCGUCGUGGGCUCAACAUUUUCAGGUCCUUAGAUGGUGGUCAUGGAAGACGCAAAGCCCCGGAGUCUGGGGAGGUGGAGACUGAAGGAUCGGCCAACGUGUCUGACUAACUGGUCAUAGGACAGCUCCCUUUUUUUUGAGCCGGUCUUUUGUAGACGGCCUUGUAUUGUAUAUAAACUUGUGUGUUUAUAAAAAGGCUUGUUUUGAUUAUGAAUUGUUGCCUGCUUUUCUAUCCCAAGCUUUUUGUUGUCAGGGGAUAUUUGUUUGCUUCCGCAUGCGUAAUAAAAUGAAUGGGUCGGCGACGCAUCCUGAGACGUCGCAUAUUUAUCGACCACCGAAGGAUGGGCACGCACUUAAGGGUCGGGGCAUGACAUUACUCGCUUGAGUAGAAUCCCUCACUUCUCCUCUUUCGAUGGCGGUCUGCUCAUCCCUAUCCUCAUCCUCAUCAUCACUAUAAUACCUAACAUAUACCCUAACUUCGUCGCUGUGAUGAUAAUGGUAAAUGAUAUCCUUAAUACCAUUAUCGUCAUUAAAAAAUCUUAAGCCAUCCUUCAAUUCCUUCCUAGGAACACAAUAAUGUAUUUUUUGCACUUUGCAUUGUAAAAAAUACACCAAAUCUCUCAAAAAAUCAAUAUAUGAUAGCUUCCGAACAUUGACAUAUAUAAUACCUUCAUUUCCACCAGUAUAUUCCCAGUCCUCGGUGUCAAUAACAAACUCUUCACCAUAGCAAACAAUGACGGCUACCUGAUUCUCAUCCAUGUCAGUUCUGCAUCCAAGGAAGAAAAAAAAAUCAUUAGUUUUUAGGACCACAUGACAAAAUUAGUAACUUCACAUGCAGGUCCUUAUCGUUUUGUCGAAAGAAACAAAGGCAAUCGAUUUAUUCAAUUCGAUCCCUUUACAAUAACAAAGGAAGCCGAAUUGAAUAAACAAAGUGAGGUCUCCAUCACCCAUUUUUCAAUUCAAUCACAUUCGGUCCCCCAUAGAAGCAAUUCACCUAAUUAAAUAACGCAAGAUCCCACCACUAUUUCCCUCCGAGUUGAGCCCCCAUUUUCCCCUCCACACCCUAUUUUUCUAUUCAAUCCCCAUAAAAGAAAGCAAAUGACAAAACCCUAAAUUUUUCUAUUCGGUCCCUACAAAAGUGAGAUCCCCACCACUUUCUCCUUGAGUCGAGUCCUCAAUUUGCUCUCCAUGCUCUAACUUGCCUAUCGAAACCCUAAAAUUUUCACUCAAUUGACCCAUGUAAAGAACAUGACAAACCUGAGUGAGUGAGAGCUAGGGACACAGCUAGCGAACAACAAUGAACGAUAGCGUAACUACGGCGGUGGCCGAGUGACAGCGAGUGAGCAACGGGCCACCGCCAGUGAGUGAGCAACGGUGGGCGAGCGAACGACGGUGGGUGAGCAAGCUACAGCCAACGUCAAGCGGGAAUUGUAGUUCGUAUGCCGCCUAUACGAACCAUAUUUUACUCCCUCUUCAGCGAUGCCGUUUUGGCUAUAUAGCAAUGUGGCGUCGUUUUGUAAGUGAGUCCAUGUGGAAUGGCAUAAAACGACGUCAUUUCUUAUGAAGAAUGGAAAACAGAGGCGUUUAUGCCAUUCCACGUGGCCAGUCUUCUUCAUUUUUUGCCACGUCGAUUUUUUUUUUAAUAUAAAAGCUACAUAAUCAUUUUGGCUGGAAUCUAUCGCUGAUGGUACCAAAGUGAUCGUUUUUCCUCUGAUUUGACACUUAAGUGAUCCGUCGGAAACUUUUGGCACCAAAAUUAGCGUCGUACACAACUUUUGCACUUCUGGUGUAGUUACCCUGAUUGUUUUUCGCACAUAACUAUCGCCAUACACUUCUUCAUUCCUUUACUUCCAUGCUUUGCUAUGAUCUAGUCUAUUAUUUAAACCAAAGUGGUUCACUUGGGUCAAGAAAUUUGCCGUAAAAAAAAAUAGUUCGAAUCUGUUGAUACCAAAAGUUGAUUUGGUUAUUGAUACGUUUGUGCUUAGCACAAGAAUGAGAAAUAUGUGGCAUGAGCAGGGAUAAGUAGCAGUCACGUGCAUAAUGCAUGAGCGUUACCUUAUACAAUCAUCAACGAAUAUAGGAGCUAAGACAUGGCGAUCAAUGACUAUAAUCUUUAAUACCAUGUGUCCAGUUAUUGAAAUAUGAUAACGAACUAUUGGUGGUCGACUAUAUGAGCACUAGCAGCAAGUUUUCAUUGGAAGUAUUUCAAAUACUAUUCAAAUCACCAAGACCGUGGGCAUCGAGAAUGCACAUUGUGGAGGGAGCAAUUGCAAUUCAUAGACCCCAUCAUGGAACGAUCAUCAAUAACUACAAACCCAUCAACACACAAUGAGGACUAUUAUACAAAAGGUGGGCAAGUGAAGCUUGCGGGAAUGAAGGAGUAUGGGCGAGAGCAAUGGAAGUUACUUGGAGAAACACAAUCGCUAAUCAUAGUCAAGGAGCAAUUACUACACAUUUGCUAUAAAUACCACCAGCUAUCCAACAAGAAACCCUCUGCACGAAUCACACAAAAUGUUAUCUUCCAAUUAUCUAUACUUUCCUACACUGUAGUUUAAAUUUCCUUAGCUAUAGCUUAAUAUUCGCAUCGUCAAUUAGAUUCCGGUAUUUUUAUUUCGAUACUCAUUGUUGAUUGAAUUCUAGCAUUGUAUUGCAAUAUCCUCGAUUUAUGUCGUCAAUUGGAUUCUGGCAUAAUUCGAGAUUGAUCUUGUAACUUUUGUGCCUUGUCAUUGAUUAAAUUCCGACUCUAUAUGGGAUUGUAUAAUGUUGUUUGGAUUAAAAAAGUUCGAUUCCUCUUUGUAUAAGAUAUCUUGUGACCAGAGUUGGCUCAAAACCCUUGUCCCCUUUAAUAAAAAUCAAAGAAUGAUUUUCAAUGAAAAAUAGUUCAUCACAUUGUUCUAUUUUAUCAUUUUCGUGUAGGCUCAUGCGAAUCAAGUUUGAUUCAGGUGUCACCAUGAAAAAUGCUUGUCAUGACACAUUCUACACAUAUGAUUUUUCUUGAGAUUUUUACAUAUCAUUAGAUCAUAAAAAAUUAAUCACGUUCUGUGAUAAUCAUGUUGAAUUAGGGACUUAUCACAAGCCCAUUAAAACUCAUUUGUUUGGGCACCUUAAGGGCCAAAACAUGCCUCAUUGUCUUCUCGAUAUUUGAAGCAUGUGUUACAAGUUUUGUAUCAACUUGUGGCAUGUCAUGUUUGAAUCUCGUUUGAUAUGUGAAAACCAUGUAUCGAUUUAGCAAAUUGUAAUUGAAGUUUGCCAUGCAUAUCAUCCUUAGUUCAAAGUCACUUUGCAAUGUUAAUGACUUGUGUGACUUAUUUGCACUCCGACUUAGGGGUAAAUUUUCUACCCAAACCUUUCUCUCAUUCAACCUUAUGUCAUGUGUGAGUUUCACACUUUUUAUGCAUUGUGUAGGUGAUCUUAUAGACUAUUAAGCAUGCAUCAUGUUCUGAUUUGUGCAUGGCUGAUUUGCAUGUCUUCAUGAAUUUCUUUUUUUCGACUAUCAAUUUGACCUCAAUUGGACUCGAACCCUCUUAGGAAUUCUGAGGACUCGCCUUGAUAUUUUGAAUGCCGCUGAUUUUGUGUGAUUUGCCUAUCAUUUGGCCCAUUUUUCGUUUUUGUCAAGUUAGGCUAAAAAUCUGACUUAGGUGAAAUUCGGAACCUCUGUUUUACCCUUGUUGAGUCUGACUCUUUGUUAUUUUGUGUGAUUUUCUCGUUUAAGAUUUUUAGGUCAGACCCUUAACGAACUUUGUUCGUCACUCUUUUGUUUAUGUUGUAGUAAAGUUUCAUGUUUGUUAGACCUCGUUUAAUAGAUUGAAUAUCCAUUGAUAUGGCGUGAUGCUCUGUUGUCUUAUUGAUUUUCUGAUGUUAUGUGUUGUUGAAUUUUUAAAAAUUCUUACAUAACCUUUUAGAAAACUUUCUUCACAGAGUUUGUUCCCCGUGAUGUUAUGGAUAUCGUGUAAUUUUCUUAGAACAAAUUGUAAACGGGUUCCUUUUCAAUUGUGUUGAUUUUAUUUACCCUGUUAUGUGGUGUUUUGUUACAAUUCUUUGCUGUGUUUUCAUUCUAGAAUUUUCUAGGUUAACUUGCAUGUUGAGUUUGCUUCACAUUUAUUCACGAACUUUGUUCUUCACUUUUUGCACUUUAUACACAAAAACUCUCGACAAAUAAAAAGCACUUUAGUAUGUUUUUUCGACCUUUUUGAAUGUCAUGAACUUGUCUAAAUUUUCCUAUUUUUGUCAAUUUGAACCUAAUUUUAGUUGAAGUGAUAUUCAUGCACACUUUUUAUGUCAUCUUUGAAUUUCAAACUUUCAAACCAUGCUCUUGGUUUGGUAUUGAUGUUACCUAAAGUUUGGGACAUAUUUAAGGCAUCUGCGAAGUUGAUUAGAGUACACAGGAUGCACCCGAGUUAACCUUGACAAUUAAAUGUGUUCCAUAACUGUGAUACAUCUUUGCUAUACCGUUAGCAUACUUUCUCCCAAUUCACUAUCAAUUGUUCUUCAAAUAUUUUUUUAGCAUCGUUUGAACUCUUAUGACGUUGGACUUGUUUACCUUUCUUGAAUGCCCGUGAUUGUGAUUAGCGUGUGUCAACUAAAUAAGUGAUCAAGUGUUGGCUCACUAAAAUUGUCUGAUUGACUGAGGACCCAGGCUCAAGGUUUUGCUGCCAUGUUUAUUUCUCCCUAUGCAUGUGUUCUUUUAGAUGUAUGCAUAGGUACAAUGUAUGAUUCCAUUGGAUGACCUAGGGAUUCACUUAGAACAUGUUUUAGGGGUUUAUAAGCAUUGGUUGCCAUACGAGAACAAAAAUGGUGGCCAAUAGUUAUAAGCUAUUAAAAUGAAUUGGGAUAGGUGUCCAAAGGUAUCGACACAUGAAUUGCAAAGGCCAACCCCAAGGCCCAAUUUGUUCAUUUUGCACGUGGUUUCGAUUGUUUGAUUCUUCUUGAUUGUCUUAUGAAUGUUUUUGUCAUGAAUGAUUGUUUCUUUCCUAUUGUAUAUACCUAGUCAUAGUUUUAGGUUAGGAUUAGAAUAGGUCCUUGGAGAUGGAGAUACUUCAAGACUUGAAGACGAUGGAAGGUCGAUGUCCUAUCCAACCGAACUUUUUAUAUCAUUUGUCCCCGAUAUAUGUUUCGGGUUAUCUCGUGUUGUAUAAAUACCCGACGAAUUGCAAGUUUAUUUCUUCCAUUUAUUUUUGUUCAUUGCUUAGGUUGUAUGCUAGAUUUACUGCAUUCCCUAAAUUGCUUACUUGAUUGUUUACUUACUGCAUUAUCUUUAAAUUUCAAUUGUUUGCCUUCUUUUCUCUUUCAUAGAAAUAGAAUCGCAUAAAAGCAAUCAUCCACGCAUGAUCAUUUAGCUAGUGUAAUCAACCUGAAAAAGUAAAAAGAAAUGCAUAAACGCCUUAGGAAACAUGACAUACAAUUAAGUACCAAAAUUGUGCUAAUAGAAAUAUUAACAUAAGUCAAGUCUCUGAAUCUAUAAUCUCUAGUUGCAUAGAAAUCGAGGAACCAUUCCUAACCCUCGAUUAAGUUUUCUAGCCGACCCUAAAAAAGAAGACUAGUAGCGAAUCUUGUCUUUUUAGGUUGUUUUAAAUAACUAGAUAAUAAAUUAACUUGUUGUAAGAGGUAUAGGUCUUGCUAAGACCCACCAGAGUUUAGCAUACCCACCGUGGAAACCUCCUAAUGGAUGAAAUGAUGUCAUCCUUAAGAAAGAGAGUACUAUUGGGAGGAUUACUAUGGUAAAGGUACCUCUAAAUUCAAUAUCCACAUCCGAUCUCCUCUUUCAAGGUAUGUCGCCCGUGUGGGUACGAAUCAUGACACCUUAUGCUAUCACGCAAGAUAUGAGCUUGGGAGAGCUCACAACAAUGAACGAGGGAACUCAUAAGGGCUCGUCUCAAAAGACAAAGUGAUGACAUAUUUUGGAUUGCGAACUGUAAGAUAACUGUCAUGAACAAGUACUCCUAAACUUGACAUUUUCCCCUCCCCAUCAAGGGAGGGUCAAGAGAGGUUGGGUCGCAACACAGCCGUUCUUCUCUUCAUCUAAAGGACGUAACCUCAAACUAUAUCCAAAGAAAUCCAACUCCCAAAAGUCUCCAUCGAUAGCACUCCCUUACUAAGGGUUACUAAUCGAGGAACUUAAAAGGAUUAGGAAGAAAAGAGGUAAGCUACCACAGCUUAGUAAAUAGUACAUAGUUUCUAAGCAAAUUGAGCAACUACUGUGCAUGUAUACAAAGUGAUAUCGGAAACAUGUGAUCCAAAAUCAAGGUAUAAAAUACGUAUUAAAUCACAUGUGUAAUUUCAUUUUGACAAAUCUUUAAAUAAACCAAAAAUACUCAUUUAAAUCCACCAUCACAAUACAAAUAUCAAUUAUCAAGUUCAUUGAUCAAUCUCAAAUCACAUGUCGAUGGUUCAUUUCAUUAACCAAACUCAUAUCACAUCAAAUCUCGAGGCCUUAGAGGUGGCUUCCACAAGACCACGUUAUCAUGUAACAUUUAGCCCUUGAGUACUCAAGGCCUUAGAGGUGGCUCCCACGAGAUUCGCAUCAUUAUAUAGCACUUAUCCAUUGACCAACACUCAUCAAUAGUAAAAGGCUCUAGAGGUGGCUUCAUGAAAUUACGUUAUCAUGUAGCACUUAGUUCUUAACCAAGGUAUAUCGAUAGUAUAAGGCCUUAGAGGUUGUUCCCACAUAACUCAAGUCGCCAUGUAGUACUUAACUCUUGACUACAAGACCCUAGAGGUGGCUCACACAAAGUUAUGUUACUACGUAGCACUUAAAACCUUGACCAAUGUAUAUCAAUAGUACAAGACCCUAGAGGCCACUCCCAUGUGACUUGAGUCGCUCUUGACUAUAAGGCCCUAAAGGUGACUCCUACGAACCAACAUUAUCGUGUAGUACUUAAUUCUUUACCAGUUCAUAUCAAAUUGAUUACACAAACCAAAACAUAGUCUUUCACAAAUCAAUUAUUCCAUUAACCAAUCCAGAAUCCAUAUCAUAAAUCAGUUUCACAUAUCCAAUGAAGUCACCUUUCAUAAACCAUACUCAAAGUCGACGUAAUUAUUUCACAAACCCAAAAUAUAUCAUCUUUCCUAACUUUGUUGAUCAAACAAUAUAUAUAUUUCACAAAAUAUUUCUCACACCAUUUCGAAAUUCAUUUCAUAAAUUGAUAACAUUUUGAAAUGUCUUUCAUUAAACGAUUCCCAAAUCAUUUUAGAACCCAUUCUAUAAAUCAAUUAGUAACAUAAUAGAACCCAUUCUAUAAAUCAAUUAGUAACAUAAUACAAUAAAUAAACUUUCACAACACCUUCCAUAACAACUUUUUCAAACCAUUUUCAAAGAAUUGAAGAGCAAUAAAUGCCCAAUCCAUAUUUUAAUGCAGUGAAAAUGUUAUUUCUUAACUCAUAGAAUAUCAUUUUUGAACGUGAGGUCAAAUACUUAAAGAAAGGAUAACACUACUCACAUUGAACUGCCUAUGAUCAAACAACGAAGAUUACUUGAACCGUUAAACUCACAAUCUCAUCAAAUAAGCGAGAAACAACAUUAAAAUCAAAGAAAAUGCUAUCUUAACUAUAACUUGAAUAAACUAACGACUCAAAUGUACUCACAGAUCGCUCGUGCAAACCAAUUAAGCCAUUGGUCAUGCACUGUUCAUACGAGGCCAAUUUCAAAAUUUUGUUUUGAGUGAACUGUAAGUCUAAAUUGAUUUUUGUAAAAUCCUACAACUUUACAACAUCUUAAAUUAUCAUUUAUAUAUAUGCAGCUCAACGACUCCUUAGUCAAAACUCGAAACUCAAAAUUGACUUAACCUUAGAUAUGCACCAUAAUUUCGAAUAUUACUUUGAUUAGAUGAGCAAGGGCAUGAUCACUUACCAAGCGUUAUGAUAUGUAAUAAAAUUGACUAAGCGAGACACCCGUGGUAAGCACACGGAAAGCCCUCUCUUUUUUCCCAUCUCUUUCUUCUUUGUUUCUUUCCCUUUUCCUUUCUUUUCUCGGUCUUCUCCGUGUCUUACCCGAGGUCUGCCUUCUCUAUUUCUUUGACCAAGUCAAUUUUCUAUUUUUUUUUAUUGGGUCCACACGAGUUGACCAAGUUUUCCUUUCUUUUCUCGGUCUUCUCCGUGUCUUACCCGAGCUCCCCCUUCCCUCUUUAUAGACCAAGUCAACUCCCUUUUCUUUUUCUUUUUUUCUAACGGGGUCCCCACUUCACCACCGAUCUUUUUCCAUUUGUUUUUUUUCUUCCCCUUUUUCUAGUUCCCAAUUCCAAACUUUUGAAAUUAGUGAAAUCAGUCUGAUUCUCAAUUUUGAGUGAAGAACUGAUUGGGAAUCAAAUUGAACCAAAUUUGGAACCGGUUUCAUAGAGCCUAAAAAUUGAAUUUUUCUCUUAUUAUAUUUUUUUUAUAUUUCUCUCUUUUUUCUAUUUCCUCCAACCUCACCCAAACACUUCACGACUCUCUCUCUCUCGCCUACAACUCACACUCCUCCUCGCAACCCUCACUUGUUCCUAACUAGCAUUUGCUCACUCACCCUCAUUCAUAUUAUAUUUUGAAUCAUUUUCUUAUUCAUAUUAUUUUGGCUAUAAAAAAUGAAACUCAAUGAACAAAAAAAAAAGGUUCUUGGUAGACCUUGGAAUCAGACUAAAAAAUAGGACACGUUCUAGGGUCAAUUCUAGGACAAAUAGGGUAGGUUACAGGUUUCAAAAACUGAUAAUUAGUUCUACCAUAGCACGUUCUAAAUUCCAAGUUCUAGGUUUAGAAUAUAAUCACCCCUAAAAUUCGUUAUUGAUUGUACAUCAAAAUAUAAUAUAGUGUUAUAUAAUAAUUAUGGGCAAGAAAUGAGAAUUCGUUAAUAAAGUAAGUGCUAAAAUUACAUCAUCAGAUGCCUUUAUCAAAUAUCGCUUUGGUGCCGGGGGAUGUCAAUUGCAAUUUCGGGGAGGACAAAGUGUCCGCCAUCGAAUAGAGACGUCCAACUAGUAGCCAAUGACCAUUGUCGAAAAGCAGAAAUUUUAGCACUUUGAAAAAGACAACCACUGAAUAGAUAGUAUGUAUCACAAGACCACCAAUUUUCUCAAUGAUGUGAUAUCUCUAUGACUAAUCAAACAAUCCAAAUUGGAUUAGUCAAAUACGAAUAAUGUAACAAAAGGAGAUUCAUUUCAUGGGUCGGUGAUGUGCAAUUAAUGGAAUCACAAACUUUGAUGUAAACCUCAUGAAAUGAUUUACUAAAUUUGUAAAUUAGAUAAGACGUGAAACAAAAUGAUUAUAAUUAGCUCAAAUAUGGAAGAUUGGUUGCACAGUUUGUGAUGGCACAAUGAAAUCAAAAUUAAUUUGUGCACUUUAUUCACCCGCUAGCACACAUAUAAAUCAAACCUAGUUACUAAUCUACUCCCAUAGGUUAAGUGAGAGCACCUCAUCUCCAAUUCCACAACAUUUCAGAAGUUGGCUACGACAACGCUGCUCCAAUUUUCAUUGGAUAAUGACAAUGAAAAUUCUUACACUCGUGUCAGUCCGUCACAUUUACUUUUCAAAUUCUUUUUCUCGAUUUUUUAAAUAUUAAAAUCCGUCGUCAUCCUUCAAGUUAGUCAUUUCAUUAACUUCCCAACUUUUAGUUGAUGGAAAAGUCUAGGCUGGCAUUUUUUAUUAUUUAUUUCCUCUACAAGGGCAACAUUUUGUGUUCAUCCAUUUAUGUUUUAUAAAAUAUUUAUUAAAGAAAAUUGAAUUUUCUUUUUUGAGCUCGUAAGAUUUAAUGGAAAGGGGAACGGCAAUGUGCUGUGCCCUCUAUAGCCAACCUCCCUUGUUGGGGUUGAGGUAAGGGUGGUUGGCCCUCACUUGGCCAUAAGUGCAGGGUACGAUUCUCGCCACCACUAGGCAAGGGCUGCUGCGACCAUGAAGCAAGGGCCCUUGCCUGUGAAUCAAGAUAAACAUCAAGUGGUGCCUUUAUCAAAUAUGGUUCAUAUUAUUGUAACUCAAUGAACCAAAAAAAUGAAACUCAAUGAAACUAAAAAAAAAAAAAAGGUUCUUGGUAGACCUUGCAAUCAGACUAAAAGAUAUGACACGUUCUAAGGUUAGUUCUAGGACAAAUAGGGUAGGUUACAAGUUUCAAAAACUGAUAAUUAGUUUUACCAUAGCACGUUCUAAAUUUCAUGUUGUAGGUUUAGAAUAGGAUCACCCCUAAAAUUCGUUAUUGAUUGUACAUCAGAAUAUAAUAUAGUGCAAUACAAUAAUUAUGGGCAAGAAAUGAGAGUUCGUUCAUAAAGUAAGUGCUAAAAUUACAACAUCAGAUGCCUAAAAGAUUUAUUUACGAUUGAGAUUAGAUAGAUGCUCUUGAGGGUGUCCUUCAGAGAAAUGCAUAAGGACGGUGAUUUGAACCUAGGAGCAUGUACGGAUCGCUUGGUGAUUUGUUUUAUAUGCCAGUUCACUUUAUAAGUAAAGCCAACGACUUCUGGAAAAAAAUAUCUCAGUACAGGCCAAGCCUCAACCUGUUCCUUGAACACCAUGAGAAACUCGUCAUUUCUCCUUGCGCUUGUUCUCUCAAUCCUUCACUUGUCUUCUCAACCUUCCUCUGCCACUCGCACUACUUUGAGCAGAGGCGACUCUCUCUCCGUUGAUAACCCGGAUGACAUCCUCAUCUCAAAGUCUGGUGUCUUCUCCGCCGGUUUUUACCCCGUCGGCAAGAACGCUUACUGCUUUGCCAUCUGGUUCAGCGAUCCACCAUGCAGCGGCCAGAAUUGCACCGUAGUUUGGAUGGCAAACCGCAAUGAACCUGUCAACGGGAGGUACUCUAAGCUUUCUAUUAAAAAGAACGGUGAUCUCAUGCUAACUGAUGCCAGACACGCUGUUGUUUGGGCCAUAGAUACAGCCUCGCUCUCGUGGUCGAAAACACCGGUUCAUCAGUUACAACUCCUAGACUCUGGUAAUCUUGUUCUUCGUGACAGAGAAGGUAAUGUCCCACUCUGGCAAAGCUUCAACUGCCCGACCAACGUGCUCCUCCCUGGACAGAACCUCACCAGGAACACACCACUUGUUUCCUCUCAGAGCAACGGCAACUUCUCCUCUGGCUAUUACAAGUUAUACUUCGACAACGACAACAUCCUUCGUCUCCUCUUCGAUGGACCUUUGAUCUCAAGCGUAUACUGGCCAGCCCCGACCCAUGUGAGUUGGGAAGUUGGAAGAACAACCUACAACGAUAGUAGAGUUGCAGUGCUCGAUUCCCUGGGGAAUUUCACUUCAUCUGACAAUCUGAAGUUCCUGACGUUGGAUUUUGGCAAGAAAACACAACGUAUGUUAAAGGUGGAUCAUGAUGGUAAUGUAAGGGUCUAUAGUAGAGAAAAAGAUGGGAAGUGGGUUGUAACAUGGCAAGGCUUACCUGAGUCAUGUACUGUUCAUGGGAUUUGUGGACCGAAUAGCGUUUGCAGGUACAGCCCGAGGGAGGGAAGGAGUUGUUCUUGCCUUCCCGGAUAUGUGUGGAAUAAUGACACUGAUUGGACUCAGGGAUGUGCG
rnacentral:lncRNA from 1 species